rnacentral:rRNA from 1 species
ACAUGCAGUCGAGGGGCAGCACAGGUAGCAAUACUGGGUGGCGACCGGCAAACGGGUGCGGAACACGUACGCAACCUUCCUUUAAGUGUGGGAUAGCCCAGGGAAACUUGGAUUAAUACCACGUAAUAUAACUGGAUGGCAUCAUUUGGUUAUUAUAGCUCCGGCGCUUAAAGAUGGGCGUGCGCCUGAUUAGGUAGUUGGCGGGGUAACGGCCCACCAAGCCUUCGAUCAGUAACUGGUGUGAGAGCACGACCAGUCACACGGGCACUGAGACACGGGCCCGACUCCUACGGGAGGCAGCAGUAAGGAAUAUUGGUCAAUGGACGCAAGUCUGAACCAGCCAUGCCGCGUGGAGGAUGAAGGUCCUCUGGAUUGUAAACUUCUUUUAUCUGGGAAGAAACCUGUCUUUUCUUGGGCAGCUGACGGUACCAGAUGAAUAAGCACCGGCUAACUCCGUGCCAGCAGCCGCGGUAAUACGGAGGGUGCAAGCGUUAUCCGGAUUCACUGGGUUUAAAGGGUGCGUAGGUGGGCUGAUAAGUCAGCGGUGAAAUCCCCGAGCUUAACUUGGGAACUGCCAUUGAUACUAUCGGUCUUGAAUCUCGCGUAGGUAAGCGGAAUAUGUCAUGUAGCGGUGAAAUGCUUAGAUAUGACAUAGAACACCAAUUGCGAAGGCAGCUUACUUCACGA